rnacentral:hammerhead_ribozyme from 1 species
AUCCAGCUGACGAAUCCUAAAUAGGAUGAAACGCAUAUCCUAGAU